rnacentral:rRNA from 1 species
AUGAGCGCCAGCGCCAGCCGCCCCGAGCUCCGCAUCCGCCACCUCCUCACAGGCGAGCGAGCCCGCCUACCCGAUCCUCCGAAAUGCGUUGGAGGUAUUCUCUUUUCCAAUGACCUAAUCCUUGCCUUCACGCCAUGGCACCGCGACACCUACUACUGCCGCAUUGGGGUUGCUCAGUGGCAAGCGGCGCGGUGCGAUGAGGGCUACAACAUUCACAGUCUGAUGUUCGUGAAAGGCACCCUCUAUGCGUUGAUUUAUCCAAAUUAUCGUCUUGCUGUUGUCGAGCUUGACAACAAUUCCGUGGUAUUGUCGUUUCUUGGGGAAGAACUUAGCGCACGUACAGUACCAGAUGGUAAUUUGGCGGCCUGGCUCGCAGAGUGUCAUGGUGAGCUAUUGCUAAUUAUCAGAAGAAGGCUGUACCGUGUGUUCCAGUGGCAAUCCAAGGAGAGGAAGUGGGCGAGGACACAUAGCCUUGGUGGUUGUAGCUUGUUCUUUAAUAUGCAUGAGUUUGCUGGUUGCCUUGGUCCAGAUCAUCCGAGAGUUCGAAGAGACUGCUUGUACUUCACUGGAAGCUUUGGGAACUGGAGCAAGUAUUCUUUGGUUGAUAGAUCUUUGCAUGAAAUUGUUGCCAACUACCUAGGGCAAUCAGUAUCGAAGGAUUUUGUAUCACUGGCUUGGGUCCUUCCAAGCAUU